UGUUGGUGGGGUAACGGCUCACCAAGGCGACGAUCCCUAGCUGGUCUGAGAGGAUGACCAGCCACACUGGAACUGAGACACGGUCCAGACUCCUACGGGAGGCAGCAGUGGGGAAUAUUGCACAAUGGGCGCAAGCCUGAUGCAGCCAUGCCGCGUGUAUGAAGAAGGCCUUCGGGUUGUAAAGUACUUUCAGCGGGGAGGAAGGGAGUAAAGUUAAUACCUUUGCUCAUUGACGUUACCCGCAGAAGAAGCACCGGCUAACUCCGUGCCAGCAGCCGCGGUAAUACGGAGGGUGCAAGCGUUAAUCGGAAUUACUGGGCGUAAAGCGCACGCAGGCGGUUUGUUAGGUCAGAUGUGAAAUCCCCGGGCUCAACCUGGGAACUGCAUCUGAUACUGGCAAGCUUGAGUCUCGUAGAGGGGGGUAGAAUUCCAGGUGUAGCGGUGAAAUGCGUAGAGAUCUGGAGGAAUACCGGUGGCGAAGGCGGCCCCCUGGACGAAGACUGACGCUCAGGUGCGAAAGCGUGGGGAGCAAACAGGAUUAGAUACCCUGGUAGUCCACGCCGUAAACGAUGUCGACUUGGAGGUUGUGCCCUCGAGGCGUGGCUUCCGGAGCUAACGCGUUAAGUCGACCGCCUGGGGAGUACGGCCGCAAGGCUAAAACUCAAAUGAAUUGACGGGGGCCCGCACAAGCGGUGGAGCAUGUGGUUUAAUUCGAUGCAACGCGAAGAACCUUACCUGGUCUUGACAUCCACGGAAGUUUUCAGAGAUGAGAAUGUGCCUUCGGGAACCGUGAGACAGGUGCUGCAUGGCUGUCGUCAGCUCGUGUUGUGAAAUGUUGGGUUAAGUCCCGCAACGAGCGCAACCCUUAUCCUUUGUUGCCAGCGGUCCGGCCGGGAACUCAAAGGAGACUGCCAGUGAUAAACUGGAGGAAGGUGGGGAUGACGUCAA
rnacentral:rRNA from 1 species